UGUCAAGGGAGGAAUCGAACCCACGACCUUCCGCUUACCGGGCAGAUGCCAUGACCACUAGGCUACCCUGGAC